rnacentral:rRNA from 1 species
CCUACGGGAGGCAGCAGUGGGGCAUAUUGCACAAUGGGGGGACCCCUGAUGCAGCGACGCCGCGUGAGUGAAGAAGUAUUUCGGUAUGUAAAGCUCUAUCAGCAGGGAAGAAAAUGACGGUACCUGACUAAGAAGCCCCGGCUAACUACGUGCCAGCAGCCGCGGUAAUACGUAGGUGGCAAGCGUUAUCCGGAUUUACUGGGUGUAAAGGGGGCGUAGACGGUUAUGCAAGUCUGAAGUGAAAGCCCCGGGCUCAACCAUGGGACUGCUUUGGAAACUGUAAACCUGGAGUGCAGGAGAGGUAAGCGGAAUUCCUGGUGUAGCGGUGAAAUGCGUAGAUAUUAGGAGGAACACCAGUGGCGAAGGCGGCUUACUGGACUGUAACUGACGUUGAGGCUCGAAAGCGUGGGGAGCAAACAGGAUUAGAUACCCGUGUAGUC